rnacentral:rRNA from 1 species
GAUGAACGCUGGCGGCGUGCCUAAUACAUGCAAGUCGAGCGAACAGACGAGGAGCUUGCUCCUCUGACGUUAGCGGCGGACGGGUGAGUAACACGUGGAUAACCUACCUAUAAGACUGGGAUAACUUCGGGAAACCGGAGCUAAUACCGGAUAAUAUAUUGAACCGCAUGGUUCAAUAGUGAAAGACGGUUUUGCUGUCACUUAUAGAUGGAUCCGCGCCGCAUUAGCUAGUUGGUAAGGUAACGGCUUACCAAGGCAACGAUGCGUAGCCGACCUGAGAGGGUGAUCGGCCAAACUGGAACUGAGACACGGUCCAGACUCCUACGGGAGGCAGCGGUAGGGAAUCUUCCGCAAGGGGCGAAAGCCUGACGGAGCAACGCCGCGUGAGUGAUGAAGGUCUUCGGAUCGUAAAACUCUGUUAUUAGGGAAGAACAAAUGUGUAAGUAACUAUGCACGUCUUGACGGUACCUAAUCAGAAAGCCACGGCUAACUACGU